ACGAACGCUGGCGGCGUGCUUAACCCGUGCCAGUCGCACGGAAAGGCCCUGCUUUUGUGGGGUGCUCGAGUGGCGAACGGGUGAGUAACACGUGAGUAACCUGCCCUUGACUUUGGGAUAACUUCAGGAAACUGGGGCUAAUACCGGAUAGGAGCUCCUGCUGCAUGGUGGGGGUUGGAAAGUUUCGGCGGUUGGGGAUGGACUCGCGGCUUAUCAGCUUGUUGGUGGGGUAGUGGCUUACCAAGGCUUUGACGGGUAGCCGGCCUGAGAGGGUGACCGGCCACAUUGGGACUGAGAUACGGCCCAGACUCCUACGGGAGGCAGCAGUGGGGAAUAUUGCACAAUGGGCGGAAGCCUGAUGCAGCAACGCCGCGUGCGGGAUGACGGCCUUCGGGUUGUAAACCGCUUUCGCCUGUGACGAAGCGUGAGUGACGGUAAUGGGUAAAGAAGCACCGGCUAACUACGUG
rnacentral:rRNA from 1 species